rnacentral:rRNA from 1 species
AUUGAACGCUGGCGGCAUGCCUUACACAUGCAAGUCGAACGGUAACAGGUCUUCGGAUGCUGACGAGUGGCGAACGGGUGAGUAAUACAUCGGAACGUGCCCAGUCGUGGGGGAUAACUACGCGAAAGCGUAGCUAAUACCGCAUACGAUCUAUGGAUGAAAGCGGGGGAUCGCAAGACCUCGCGCGAUUGGAGCGGCCGAUGGCAGAUUAGGUAGUUGGUGGGGUAAAGGCUCACCAAGCCGACGAUCUGUAGCUGGUCUGAGAGGACGACCAGCCACACUGGGACUGAGACACGGCCCAGACUCCUACGGGAGGCAGCAGUGGGGAAUUUUGGACAAUGGGCGCAAGCCUGAUCCAGCCAUGCCGCGUGCAGGAUGAAGGCCUUCGGGUUGUAAACUGCUUUUGUACGGAACGAAAAGUCUCUUUCUAAUAAAGAGGGAUCAUGACGGUACCGUAAGAAUAAGCACCGGCUAACUACGUGCCAGCCGCCGCAGUAACAC